UGCAUUUAUUACACAUUCACGGUAAGACACACAGAAGGAUCAGUCACAUAAAUAACAAAAAUAGCAUGAGGAUAAGGAAGUGGCCCAGACGAAACAGAUGUGAUCUUCAUCUGGCCCAUAUGUACUAUAAGUACUGUAAAUAUAUAUGGGCCUGUAACUUUGCAGUGGUUUAAGUUAUGUUUAAUCUGGAUGUCAUUGAAUAAACCUUUUUUGUCAGUAAAUGAUGAUGAUCCAGACAAGUCAAAAUGUAUGCCUACUUUAACCCAGAAAGCAAGUUUACAAAUUGAAGGCCCUUUUUAUUGCAACAAUACAAUUGUCCUCUAUAAUUAAGAUUUGCUCUUUUAUUCUACAGCUCUUCAUUUGUUUUCAAGAGCUAAACAUACAGCACCAACUGCUGUCAAGAGAAAUGUUAGCUAAAAAAGGCAAAUAGAUAAGAUAUAAAUAGCAGAAAGCACUAAUAGCCCAUUAUCAAGUAGCAGUAGUAGUAGCACUUAUCAAUACAUGCCUAUCUAAAUAUGACAACAAAGAUUAUUUCUAAAGUUAGAACAGAAAUGCUUAGAUAAAGUUAAUAAAGUUAGUGUCAGUAACAGGCAAUCCAACUAUUUAAUUAUCGUUACAACGCCGUUAACCGUUACUGACAAUUAAACAGAAGCGCUGUUUUUGUGGCGAAAGGAAGGAUGAGAUAACAGCAUACCUGAUGAUGAUUGGCUAAGGCAGAGUAAGCUUUCGUGGUAAGCCAAUCAGAGGCAGUGUUUUAACCAAAUCAUACACACGCAGCCGGCUCGCACACCUGAACUAGCAGAGAUAAGCGGCAACAACGGCGAGGAAAAGUUGGCGUUUUAAAAAUUGAAAUAAAGACAAUACUUCAGUCUCCUACAGGAUGCCUGCUGCCACCAUACCCAGGCCGGACACCAGGUACGGCAGCAGGACCUGGGCUGCAAUCAUCCAGGAGUUCUCCGGCAGGAAGCCAUGAGCUGAGCGGGUCAGUCUGCAGCGGAAUCCCCUCAGCUUCUGCCCCUGGAAACGCAGCUCCAGAGCCAGAUUAUUUUAGGAUGAAGACUGUGUGACUGACCUGUGCCUGGUCCAGUAGCAUGCCAGCUGUAACCAUUCCAAGCCCUGCUAGCAGGUACGAAGGCAACACCUGGAAGCAGAUCAGCCUGGACGACUCUCUGGAUGAAGUGUGGAGCUUCUCCUCCCCCAUGGUACCAGGACACCAACACCUGCUGCUGCUGGUGCUACUAAUGCUGCUGCUGUGCCACCAGUGUGUCACCAAACAAACACUCUACUGCCAAGUAGAGGAGACAGUCGCUACUAAUCCAUCAGACUGUUUACCUGUCCUGAGCCAACGUCACAUCUGACUCAGCUUGAUGUUUUACUACAGUAUGUCUGAAAACAGAACCCUGUAUCCCUGUAUGUUGUCAAUGAAUGUGUUAACUGCAACCAAACAACAGUUACAAACUGUCCAGUCACAGCAACAAGGUGACAGUGCAAGCAGAGUACAGUGUGUGUGAGGACAACUCUUUACAGAUGUUCCAGCCUGUUUCCAACAUAGCUGAGAAAAUGAAUCAUAAUUUAAGGGUCCACUCUGCAGUGUCUUGAGUCUUUUUAUGCUAUUAAUGUAGUAUGCUAGUACCCAGUUGUUUUAUAUUUCCAACCUUUUUUCUCCAUAGUAUAAAAUAUGGUUUCCCAACCUUUUUUGAGCGACACCAUACAGUAUACAUUAGCAUGAAAACCCCCACGGUGCUCCACCAACCAAAGAUCUCACAAGAAGUAUAUGUAAUGAAAUAUAAUAAUAUUCAAGUUUAAAUGUACUACACAUGCACUCCUGUUUAGUUGAAGACAACACUGAUAUACUGGCAGGAAUUGAAGAAAAAGACAAAAAUCUUCAACAGCUAUGAUGAUUUGUUUUGGUUUUAAUAACUAACUGCUGCCCCCUAGCGGAAGAAGAUUUAAUUACUGUGCCUGUCACAUUGACAAGCAAAGAAAAU